rnacentral:rRNA from 1 species
GUGAGGAAUUUUCCGCAAUGGGCGAAAGCCUGACGGAGCAAUGCCGCGUGAAGGAUGAAGGCCUAUGUGUUGUAAACUUCUUUUCUCAGAAAAGAAUUAUGACGGUAUCUGAGGAAUAAGCAUCGGCUAACUCUGUGCCAGCAGCCGCGGUAAGACAGAGGAUGCAAGCGUUAUCCGGAAUGAUUGGGCGUAAAGCGUCUGUAGGUUGUUUAAAAAGUAUUCUGUCAAAGAUUAGGGCUUAACCCUAGAUAGGCAGAAUAAACUUUUAAGCUAGAGUUUGGUAGAGGCAGAGGGAAUUCCCGGUGGAGCGGUGAAAUGCGUAGAUAUCGGGAGGAACACCAAAGGCGAAGGCACUCUGCUGGGCCAAUACUAACACUGAGAGACGAAAGCGAGGGGAGCAAAUGGGAUUAGAUACCCUAGUAGUCC